AAGUCGUAACAAGGUUUCCGUAGGUGAACCUGCGGAAGGAUCAUUAACACGUUCAACAACGUUCGAUCAAUCGAUCAACCACACCCAACCGUUGCACACCCUUGUGCGAGCCCUCUAGGGGGAUCGACACUUGGCUCCCAUCACUCGGCAUGUACUGUCUGACGGUAUAUGUCUUCUAUCCAAUCCCCCUUUUUUCACCCCUUUUUUCAAUUGACUCACCCUACCAACCCCGAGUGGCCUGAUCAAAUGUGUCAUUUGCCUUGGGUGACGGACAGACAGAGUGAGUGAGUGAGUUGGUUUUCCUAUCUCUCUUUUUUCUUUCUUUCUGCCCGGCCCAAGGUGGACGGACCGAACCAUAUGGAUGUUUCCAAAUGAGUUAUAUCAAUACAACUCUUAGCAAUGGAUAUCUUGGUUCUC
rnacentral:misc_RNA from 1 species